rnacentral:rRNA from 1 species
UACGGAGGGGGCUAGCGUUGUUCGGAUUUACUGGGCGUAAAGCGCGCGUAGGCGGCUUUGCAAGUUAGAGGUGAAAGCCCGGGGCUCAACUCCGGAAUUGCCUUUAAAACUGCAUCGCUAGAAUUGUGGAGAGGUAAGUGGAAUUCCGAGUGUAGAGGUGAAAUUCGUAGAUAUUCGGAAGAACACCAGUGGCGAAGGCGGCUCACUGGACUGGUAUUGACGCUGAGGUGCGAAAGCGUGGGGAGCAAACAGG